AUUCAGCUGAAGAGUCCCAAAUAGGACAAAACGCGCUUCCUACAU
rfam:Schistosoma margrebowiei strain Zambia genome assembly, scaffold: SMRZ_scaffold0000216